rnacentral:misc_RNA from 1 species
CACGUCAUGCACCACCUGUGUAGGGCCCCGAAGGACACCGUAUCUCUACGGCUUUUCCCUACAUGUCAAGCCCUGGUAAGGUUCUUCGCGUCGCGUCGAAUUAAGCAACAUGCUCCACCGCUUGUGCGGGCCCCCGUCAAUUCCUUUGAGUUUCAGCCUUGCGGCCGUACUCCCCAGGCGGGGCACUUAAUGCGUUAGCGCCGGCACCCAGGGGGUCGCUCCCCCAGGCACCUAGUGCCCAUCGUUUACGGCGUGGACUAC